rnacentral:rRNA from 1 species
UACGUAGGGUGCGAGCGUUGUCCGGAAUUAUUGGGCGUAAAGGGCUCGUAGGCGGUUUGUCACGUCGGGAGUGAAAACUCGGGGCUUAACCCCGAGCCUGCUUCCGAUACGGGCAGACUAGAGGUAUGCAGGGGAGAACGGAAUUCCUGGUGUAGCGGUGAAAUGCGCAGAUAUCAGGAGGAACACCGGUGGCGAAGGCGGUUCUCUGGGCAUUACCUGACGCUGAGGAGCGAAAGCGUGGGGAGCGAACGGG